GAAAAUGCUCCUGUAAUCGCUUCGAAGUAUCAGGCGAACAGAAACGUCAGAAUCUAUAUAUGAAAGUGUAAUGUUACUCGUGCACAAUGUAUGGUGUGACUAUAACGAAUUCAUUUAACCUCAAUGUGCUUAUAACUUUUAAAGAAACAAGAAAGAAAAAUUAAAUGAGAUGUAUAAUUGAUGAAUUAUAUAGAGGCCAUUGUGUACAAUUGUGUUGUAUUUAACUGUCUUCCCAGAAAUAUACAUUAAACGGAGAAGCAGAGAUGAUGAAUAGAAGAUCGAUGUUAUGGAUUCUUUCGCUGUUGCAAGUAUACAUACUUUGGAGAAUAAUAAUUGUUCGGGAUGGUAACAGGAUUGUCCCUGUACUUCAGAGAUAAAGAGACAAGUUCUGAUACAUAUAUUAAUAGAAGUAUGCAUUUAUGCUGAUUUC